AUUCAAUAUUGCUCUGAUGACUUCAACAAUUACUAUUGAAAUAUUAGGAAUAUGCAACUAGGGUAAAUGACAGUCUUUCUGCUUAUGGAUAGUGGGGGCAUAAUUGCAAAGCUUGGAGGUUUGUUCCUUGAUAGAUACAUGACACUGAUGGGACUAAAUUAGCAUGUGGUGGUUACAAUGAAUUGGAUAUGUUCGUCUCAAAACAUGGAGGACUACUGACUGUUAUGUUGUGAUAGGAAAUCAGUUGAUGUUUCUAUACUGGCUGAAUGCUGAUCCAUACAAAUAAAAUGGAUAAAAAUCUAAUUUUUAGGUGUACUUUGAUUCCACAGAAGAGUGCGUACUUUUGGGCUCAAAGUUUGCACUAGCUUUGAAGCAUUGUAGGUGACAUUUAGAUACUUGAUGCGAAGCCAGUCGUGAGUUAAAACUCUUAACAAAAAUCUUAUGAAACAAGCCGUUGGGUGCAAGUGGAUUUACCAUAGUCAGUUGCCCUUUCACUGCAGUAAGCAUACUGGUCUACUAUCUUCAAGGUUUGGUUUGUGUUUGAUGCUUCAAUUAGAGGCUCCAUGGAAACUUGCCUAGAGUUUAAUUCACCAAGGAAGUACAACUUAAGUGAUCAAUAUAUAGCAAGAUAACCGGCAAAUUUUGCAAAAUACAAUAUGGCAACCAUGACGCCUAUGCUUACGAAGUUGAGGCACUUUCAUGCCAGCAUUUAUGUAAUUUUAUCUUGACUUAUUUGACUGGAUGAAAUUUAUUGUGAACAUUUGCUGAUUAGGGCCAAAUAUUAUUUCUCAUUUCUGAUGCUCUUUAUUCUGAAUAUGGUGUCAGUAUUAUGUAAUUUAAAUUUCUUAGGUGUAAUCAUUUUGGGUUGGCAAUCAGAUUUCUUUAUUAACAUUGCUUGAAGCAUGCCUUUUCUUGUUCUGUUUUGGCCAGUAUCAUUAGUGCAGUAUGUAUUCACAUCAAUUUAGUUCUUGAUUCAGUAGUAGCUACUGAGCAAAUUUAAAUCAUCUUGUCCAACUGCCAUUGUGUCACUUAUCAUUUGUGACUUGAUUGUUGAGUUCUAGAAUCAUUGGCCACUAGACUCUUCUUUAUUUCACCAUCAGUUAAGGAUUGUGUUUGUCUUCUGGCACUAGCUUUAUACAAGGGAUGCAUCGA
rnacentral:misc_RNA from 1 species